rnacentral:rRNA from 1 species
CUACGGGGGGCUGCAGUGGGGAAUAUUGGACAAUGGGGGAAACCCUGAUCCAGCAAUGCCGCGUGUGUGAAGAAGGCCUGCGGGUUGUAAAGCACUUUCGGUUGGGAGGACUGCUUCUAGCACUAAUAUUGUUGGAAGUUGACGUUACCUUCAGAAGAAGCACCGGCUAACUCCGUGCCAGCAGCCGCGGGUAAUACGGAGGGUGCAAGCGUGUAAUCGGAAUUACUGGGCGUAAAGCGCGCGUAGGCGGCUAGAUCAGUCGGGUGUGAAAGCCCCGGGCUUAACCUGGGAACUGCAUCCGAUACUGUCUAGCUUGAGUGCAGGAGAGGAGAGUGGAAUUCCACAUGUAGCGGUGAAAUGCGUAGAUAUGUGGAGGAACACCAAUGGCGAAGGCAGCUCUCUGGCCUGAUACUGACGCUGAGGUGCGAAAGCGUGGGGAGCAAACAGGAUUAGAUACCCCCGUAGUC